rnacentral:tRNA from 1 species
GCGCCCAUAGCUCAAUGGAUAGAGUAUUUGACUACGAAUCAAAAGGUUAGAGGUUCAAGUCCUCUUGGGCGCG